CCAGUACAUGUGUAGCAGCUGAGUGACAGGCCGAACUCCAACAGAUGCAGCUACAAAAGCAAGACAGGAGUGGAGCCGGCGGUGCCAGGACCCUGUUUAGAGCACCCACCCACUGACCCCAUUUAUGAUUCCACCCAGCCCUCAUUUUUGCUCCCUCUCUUUCCGUACUGGCUCCUAACCUCCCUCACCUUGUGCCCCCCUGGUUUUUCUUGCCUCCGCCCUGCGGACGCCAGCUGUGCAUGCCCUCGAGGCCAAAGUACAAAUUUCACUUAGCCUUAUCAGAAUCCAGAUCCUUUUCUCUCUCCCCACCGGAGAAACAAACGCCUGUGGGGAGGCAAACAAGAAGUCCGGCGCUGAGUGGCAGCCCUGUGGGGAGACCCUCACCCUCCACCCUCCCAGCUGCCCCCCCUUGUUUACACCCACUCACCAACACACACGCUGCUGGAAACUCAACCGGUUGCGUAACGGCUGCCCUUUUAUCUACACCCAAAGGCGCAGGCGCUUGCAAGGAGCUGGACGUGACAUUCGCACAGGUGGUAAACUCAAGGUGCCUUAAUGCAGAUUCAUGAGACACUGUCGGUUCUCGGGGCAGGCCCCCACCCCACCCCAGCUGCCCCAAAGAGGUGUCACUCAAUUCCCACUAUUGGGGCCGCUGCUUACAGCAAGGACGGGGCACUUCAGGCCUGAGAGGCUUAUACGCCCCCUGCUAAGCUUCUCUCGCUGACUCUCGGAACAACCCCCAGGCCACACCCCCUCUUCCUGAGGCCACACCCCUCACCUGCCCUGCUCCACACCCUCCGUAGUGUUUUCGCCUGGCUGCGAUGUCUCCUUGAACUCCAGUAAUGCCCCUUUACUUGCUUUGAAGUGGGAGAGCACCCUGAACUAGGAACUACAGUUCCUAGGAUUCUUUGGGAUGAAGUCACAGAACAUGGAUUUUAGAAGUGGUGUGGUAGUGCUUUAAAUGUAUGGUGCAUUGGCCAAAUGGACCAAUUUAAGACAAUGCCAGGUCUCUUAUGGAGCCUGAACACUGCAGAGCCGUGUUCGACAAAUAGAGAGAGGCAUUCAAGAAUUCAGAGGUGGCCACAUCCGGCCAAAAACCAGGGGCAGCGGGAUUGUGUGCAGGGCCAGCCUCAGCAACCAGCAGCAACUAGGGAAAACCCCGCAAGUGUCCCUAUUUUCCAGGGACGUCCCUGAUUUGGAGAAGCCAUCCCAGUUUCUGAUUUGAUCCCAGAAUGUCCCACUUUUCAUUAGGAUGCCUCUAUUUUCACUACAAAUGUUGGAGGGUAUGGAGUUAUCUGACCCCCGAACCGUCUGAAGGCAAUCCUGCAUAGGGAAGUGUGUUUUUUUAAUGUUUAAUGUUUUAUUAUGUUUUUAUAUAGGUUGGAAGCUGCCCAGAGUGCCUGGGGCAACCCAAUAAGUUGUGUGGGGUAUAAAUAGUAAGAUUAUCAUUAUGGAAUGGGACGUCAGAUUGACCACCCGUGCCUGUUCUGAGCCCACCUUUUUAAAAAACCAAACCUCUGCAUGGCACUCUGAGCAGAACUGGAUGGGCUAGUCUAGCCACCAUUUUAGUGUCCCACAGGGCAUUAUGGGAAAUUAAAAUGGUUGGCAGACCCAUCAAAAGCUGGGCUUCAGUAGAGGGCGCUUUGCCCAGGGCAAACCCUCUCAAACCUUAGUGAAAUGUGGGGGUAUGCUUAAUAAUAAUAAUAAUUUAUUAUUUAUACCCCGGCCAUCUGGCUAGGUUUCCCUAGCCACUCUGGGCAGCUUUCAACACAAUAUUAAAAUACAGUAAUGCAUCAAAAGUUAAAAGAUUCCCUAAACAGGGCUGCCUUCAGAUGUUGUCUAAAAGUCUGGUAAUUGUUGUUCUCUUUGACAUCUGGUGGGAGGGCGUUCCACAGGGUGGGUGCCACCACCGAGAAGGCCCUCUGCCUGAUUCCCUGUAACUUGGCUUCUUGCAGUGAGGGAACCACCAGAAGGCCCUCAGAGCUGGACCUCAGUGUCCGGGCUGGAUGAUGGGGGUGGAGACGCUCCUUCAGAUAUACUGGACCGAGGCCGUUUAGGGCUUUAAAGGUCAGCACCAACACUUUGAAUUGUGCUCCGAAACGUACUGGAGUCCAACCCGCUACAAUGCAGGAAAUGCAGUCAUAUUCCAAAAUGCUUGUUUGGAAUUUCAGCCUCAGGCACUGAUGUGGGCCUGCCUGUCACCCAUUUUCCUCUCUUC
rnacentral:lncRNA from 1 species